GACGAACGCUGGCGGCGUGCUUAACACAUGCAAGUCCGAGCGGUAAGGCCCUUUCGGGGGUACACGAGCGGCGAACGGGUGAGUAACACGUGGGUGACCUGCCCUCAGCUCUGGGAUAAGCCUGGGAAACUGGGUCGUAAUACUGGAUAUGACUCCACGGUGCAUGGUCGUGGGGUGGAAAGCCUUGUGCGGCUGUAGGAUGGGCCCGCGGCCUAUCAGCUUGUUGGUGGGGUGANGGCCUACCAAGGCGACGACGGGUAGCCGGCCUGAGAGGGCGACCGGCCACACUGGGACUGAGACACGGCCCAGACU
rnacentral:rRNA from 1 species